rnacentral:misc_RNA from 1 species
AUUUUUAUCAUACAACUCAUAAAAACAGAUUAUGAAUGGAAGGAUUUUAUUUUCUGUAUGUGGCAAUUUAUUCCAUGAAUGACACAUUUUUCUCGAUCGUAUCUACGAGAAAAUAAAUUUCGAUAAUGGUGGAUCGUUUAGUGAACAGUGAGGCCAAUGCUAGAAGGAUUGCUAUGGUUGAGAGCUGCUUCGGCAGUUCUGGACAGCCAUUGGCAGAACAAGGCAGGGUCCUUGUGGGAGAGGGUGUCCUGACAAAAAUGUGUCGCAAGAAACCAAAAGCUAGACAAUUCUUUUUGUUUAAUGACAUCCUCGUAUACGGAAACAUUGUUAUAAACAAGAAAAAAUAUAACAAACAACAUGUUAUACCACUCGAGGAAGUUAAGUUGGAGUCUUUGAAGGAUGAAGGACAAUACCGUAACGGCUGGUUAAUCCGUACCGCUUCCAAAUCCUUCGCGGUGUACGCCGCCACAGCGACCGAGAAAGAAGAAUGGAUGGCUCACAUAGAAAAAUGUAUAGAAGACUUGCUAAGGAAAAGUGGCAAACAACCUCCAUCAGAGCACGCAGCGGUGUGGGUGCCAGACAACGAGGCGUCAAUCUGUAUGCACUGCAAGAAGACACAGUUCACUGUACUCAAUAGGAGGCAUCACUGCCGCAAAUGCGGGUCAGUAGUGUGCGGGCCGUGCUCGUCGAAGCGCUACAUCCUGCGCGGACAGAGCGACAAGCCGCUGCGCGUGUGCCUGCAGUGCUUCGACGAGCUCAACCGCGAGCGAGCCCGCCCGCCCGCGCAGCCGCCCACCGCUAACAUCACACCAGUGAAAGACACUGCGGGUUCGGGCGGCGACUCGUCAGCCGAUGAAGACAGUGACGACGAUGAUGACCGCGUCACCGCUGAGGAGAAACACGACGAGCCAAAGUUCUACGGUGACAGUGAUAAGACUGAAGAGACCAACAAUCAUUCGUCCAAGGAUUCCGCUAAGUGAAAAUCAGAUUCAAGAGACCACUGUCCAUCACAGGUUUAGACAGUAAACUUAUAGUUCGCGA